rnacentral:sRNA from 10 species
AUAAAGCCUGGUCUCAAAGCGUAUAAAUGAUGCAAGCUUGCUUGAAAAAAUUUGUACGCUUUAGAGACGCUAAUGGACAUGAGCAAGAAGCACGGUAGUGCGGAUUGCGAAUGUACAUAGGAUUGCGGGAGUGAAAGCGUAGCAAUCCGUAGGCUUUAU